rnacentral:snRNA from 1 species
AGAUGGAAGGGCAAUCUUGCUGCGAUAUCUGUCACUGCUGUGAUCCCCAGGGUUGACUCUGCUGAUAUCACUCAAGAGGUGAGGUUCCCCUUCUUCCCUCAUCACUCCACGUGCAUCCCUUUGGAAUGCUUGAUUCAAAAGACCUUCUCCAAUAGACAUGAACCAUUCUUAGGUCAAGGGUGUCUGAAUAGCCAUGCUCCCCUGGAGAGUAUUACGCUGAGUGAAGUUAGGCAGAAGUAGAGAGAAUGACACAAAAUGAUCUCUCUUAUUU